GCACUGCUGAGGAGUCCCACAAUAGAACAAAACGGCUGUCCAGUAC
rnacentral:hammerhead_ribozyme from 1 species